UUGUAGAUGUAAAUUUAUUUUAAUGAGAGGAAUGGCAAGCUUUAAUUUGGCCGCAGAAAGUUGGAAAAACAUUUGUUUUACUCUGGUGGGAAAAAAAAAAAAAGGAAAGUAAACCCACCCAGGAAUAUGAUUUUCUUGCAGAAAGUGGCCUGAUGGCUGUAAUUCUCCACAAAUUAAAUCACAAUAUGAAUACAGACCCCGGCAAAUGCCGAGUUUAACUCUGAACUCAGUAGAAACCAGUUCUGUCCACCAGGAUUCAUUGAAUUCCUCCUUUCCCUCAAUCUAGUCCGUGUGUGUUUUUCUCUUCCACCACACUGGAGCUCCAUGAAUAGGGAAAGGGGCUUCCAUUGUGUCCCUCUGAACUUCCAAGUCAAUGCAAUUUUUAACCACUGGCUUGUGGUACUUUGAAAAUCACCAGGGGCUGUCAGAGUUGGGUCCUCUGAAAAAUUUACAGUGCUAAAUCAGAGCAUAUGCUGGGAGGGAAAAAAUUGCCUAAGAUUGGAGCAAGUACAGUAUCUGUCUGCCCCCUAGUGUAAGAGUCCUCGCUGCCUAAAAUUCAACUUUAAAAGAAAAGGAGCUCUUAAAGGGAAACGACUUUGAGCUCACGUAGGCAUAGGAGAAUGAAACUUCUGUACAUUUUAAUCUGAAUAAUUCUUCAGGAUUUAAAAUUAAUUGGCUCUAGCUUGGUUGGACCGGACUCGGAUCUCGCCACCUCUGCGUUUCCCGAGUCACUGGCGGAGAGGUGAUGAUUUUUUUUUUCCUCUCUCUCUCUCUCCCUGAACUGGGUUUAUGUGCGUCCUCCUCACCCCCUCCUCUCUUUUUCUUUCUCUGUCUCUGUCGUCUCUCUCGCUGGCUUUUUAAAAAUGAGGAACCGUUCCUUGAACGUUCUGGACAGAGCACAGAAUUGCUUCUUAAGUCAGCCCGACGCGGUUGCAAUAGACAGCAAAAAGGUAAACGUUUGCCUGAAAUCCGCACGCCAGCUCCACCACCCCGCCCGAUGGUGUCUGAGUGUAGAGAAAAGCAGAUAGAAAAGCCCUAUUGCUGUCUGCCCUAAAGCCUCAGUGGAUGAGGAACUGAAUGUUGUCUUCCAGAUUCCCCAGCGUUGGGCAGACUCAUUCAAAGAUAUGUGCUCAAAGAAUUAGAUGCUUUAAACAUCAUCCAUGGCAUGGAAGUUUCUGCAUUUCCCUACCUUUCCAUUAACAGCAAAAUAGCAUUAAGAACUGUAGCCUGACACUUGCCACACUAUCCUCAUCCUGCAACCUGCCGAUUCCAGCCUGGGACUUGGAAGCAGCUAAAACAGAGUGAGUACUUAAAAAAAAAAAAAAAAAGGUCUGCUACAGGGCAUCAAACUAAGCUUUGCAUCCAAUCUUAUUAGGCAAGGGAAGAACUCCCCAUAGGUGAUCCAUCUUGGAACCAUUGACCCUCUUUAAAUAUAUAGAAUAUUUAAAAUACAUACAGCAAGGG